rnacentral:rRNA from 1 species
UACAGAGGAGCCAAGCGUUGUCCGGAUUGACUGGGCGUAAAGCGCACGCAGGCGGCUGCGCGCGUGGGGUGUGAAAUCUGGCCGCUUAACGGCCAGGCGCCAUCCCAUACGGCGCGGCUUGAGCCUUGCAGAGGGCGGUGGAAUUGCCGGUGUAGUGGUGAAAUGCGUAGAGAUCGGCAGGAACACCCAGGGGGAAACCAGCCGCCUGGGCAAGCGCUGGACGCUGAGGUGCGAGAGCGUGGGGAGCGAACCGGAUUAGAA